AUAACGGUGUCUUUAGACACCACCUACCUUAUGUGAAGUGAUUUAU
rfam:Picea glauca, whole genome shotgun sequence.